ACCCCUAAAGCUAGCCCAACCCCCCAAGAGCAACAUUCUUAAAAGUAAUCCCCAAUGAAGACUACAAUUCAAAUUAAAGCAUUUUUCCCCCUUAGUACGCGAGACAGAAAAGGGAAUUUAAGGCGCUAUAGAAAAAGUACCGCAAGGGAAACCUGAAAGAGAGCUGAAAGAGUUCAUUUAAGGUUAGAAAAGCAGAGAUUAAACCUCGUACCUUUUGCAUCAUGAUUUAGCAAGAAGACCCCAAGCAAAGUGACCUUUACGUUUGGACCCCCGAAACUAAGCGAGCUACUUCGAGACAGCCUAUCAAGGGGCGAACCCGUCUCUGUGGCAAAAGAGUGGGAAGAACUCUGAGUAGAGGUGAUAAGCCUACCGAGCCUAGUUAUAGCUGGUUGCCUGAGAUCCGAAUAUGAGUUCGACUCUUUGAACUACUCAACCCACCACCUAACACAACCUUACCCAAAGGAGUUACAAGUAAUCAAAGGAUAUAGUCAAGAGGGGAACAGCUCUCUUGAGAAGAAGAAACAACUUUUUCAAGCAGGUUAAAGAUCAUAAGAUUAAAGGGCUCGCACCCAGGUUGGCCUGAAAGCAGCCACCCCUAAAGAAAGCGUCAAAGCUCAAGUUAACAACUAGGCCCUACAAUACCGACUAUAAUAUCUUAAACCCCUGGAAUAUAUCAGGCCCCUCCAUGCCCUCAUGGAAGAGAUAAUGCUAAUAUGAGUAAUUAGAGGGCCAGCCCCUCUCGAACACAGCCCUGUCAAUCAGAACGAACCCGCACUGAAAAUUAACGCCCCCAACUGACCAGAGGGUAUUGGAUAAACAACAAUAAACCAGAAGACCCCCCAAUUACUAAGCGUUAACCCUACACAGGUCUGCUAUACGAAAGACAAAAAGAGAAAGAAGGAACUCGGCAAACACUAGUCUCGCCUGUUUACCAAAAACAUCGCCUCUUGCCCACAUAAGUAUAAGAGGUCCCGCCUGCCCUGUGACGAGAGUUUAACGGCCGCGGUAUCUUGACCGUGCGAAGGUAGCGUAAUCACCUGUUUUUUAAAUGGAGACCUGUAUGAAUGGCUUGACGAAGGCUAAACUGUCUCCUUUCUCCUGUCAAUGAAAUUGAUCUCCCCGUGCAGAAGCGGGGAUAGACCCAUAAGACGAGAAGACCCUAUGGAGCUUUAGACACAAGGACAACCCACAUACCUCUAACCCCAAGCCUUGGAAACAAAAUGAGUCCUGUCCCUAUGUCUUUGGUUGGGGCGACCACGGAGAAAAACCAAACCCCCGAGAGGAAUGGACAACCCCUAAUGUUAGAACUACUGUUCGCACAAUCAGAAAAUCUGACCGCAAUGACCCGACCUUAUAGUCGAUCAACGGAUCCAGUUACCCUAGGGAUAACAGCGCAAUCCUCUCCAAGAGCCCCUAUCGACGAGAGGGUUUACGACCUCGAUGUUGGAUCAGGACUCCCUAAUGGUGCAGCCGCUAUUAAGGGUUC
rnacentral:rRNA from 1 species